ensembl:lncRNA
AUGUCUCCAUCUUAUUUAAUCUUCAUUUGUAUGGCUGCUGUUGCAGUUAAAGAAAGUUGUGCAGAUUUGGUUCCCACUCCCACUAUUGUAUUUUCCCCUGGGUACAUCAAUAUAGCUACACCUGCUACAGUACGAUGUGAGUCACCAAAAGGCACAGAGUGCAAAUUCUACAAAGAUCAUGACCCCAACCCUAUAAGGAAACUGGAUUACAAGCAGGGUGCUUGCCAGUUCAAGUUGCUCUGGAAUGAGUUCAAAAGGUGGAACAAGACUGAAGUAGAUCUCAGCUGUGUAAUUCUACAGAACAGAGAAGGUGAAACGAUCAAAACCUCAAAACCUAGUGAUGCUCGAAGACUUAAUGUGGGUGAUCCAAUUGGAAAGCCCAUUGUUCAGGUGUUGAAGAUUGGGAAUUACCUCAAUCUUCGAUGUGAGGCCAAGGCUGGCACCUCAUGCUACUUUUAUCUGAACAAUGGUGACUCACACUUUAAAAAACGACCCUACAAAGACAAUGUCUGUGUGGGGAGAGUGGCAGAAGAGGAACUGCAGAGGAAGAGGAGCAGUGCUGGAGAGAUCUUCAUCACCUGUGCUGUGGAGCUGGUGGUAGAGGGUGAAGAUACUGUGACAUCACAGCAUAGUGAACCCCUCGGUAUCACCAUAGAUGGAGCUACUAGUUCCCCAUCAACGUUCAGUUUACCUGUUCAGAAUGAGAAAAGCAACGAUACCACAGCCCAAGGAAGAGGUCCAGGGUUCCUCGUCGUCAUCAGUCUGGGUGCUGGUUCCCUUUUCCUGAUUCUGCUAGCUGGGUCUGUGCUGUGUGUUCUCCAACGCAAGUGUGGGGUUCAAGGCAGGCCUGUAAAUACUGGAAGCCCACCUGAACAGCAAGACCAAACCCCACCUUGUGUCUAUUCUGUCAUCACAAAGCCUUCUAGGGAUGAGGAAGAGGACACUAGUCUGCAAUACGCUACAGUGACAUAUACCGGUGACCAAGCUAGUCGUCAAUAUGCAACAGUGACAUCUACCGGUAACCAAGUUGGACCUGGGCGCACCAAGAUCAAGUUUGAAAUAGCUGGAGAGUACGCCCUCUUAGCAGAAUCAUAGAAGAAGAAACAUUUACUGGAUAACAUGUUUUGCCAUAGUUCACAGUUACAAUCCUAUAUUUUGUUUUCAUAUUGGAUCAUAAUUUACUCAUAGUACAAAAACAAAUCCUGCCACAACAUCAAAGACUAAAGAUAUCUACUCAACUAUUUGCAUUUUAGGUUAAAUGAAAUAAAUGAAAAGUACACUGUCUGAAACAUAAAAUAAAUAUUUUCCUUCAUUGAGUUACCGAAUCUAGUCAGCAGUCACCAAUCAGUAGUCACCAAUCUAUUUCACUCCUUGACAAGAGUCAAUAUAGACUCAAAGCCACAAGAGGGUAGAACACAUGUCAAACUUUGCUUGUUACAUCUCUACAUCUCUCUCUCUACAUCGCUCUCUUUAACCAUGUCUGGUGUAUAUUAGUUUUCAGUGGUGGAAAAAGUACUCAACAAACAUACUUAAGUAAAAGUAAAGAUACCUUCAUAGAAAAUGACUCAAGUAAUAGUAAAAGUCACCCAGUAAAAUUCUACUUGUGUAAAAGUCUAUAAGUAUUUGAUUUAAAAUAUACUUCAGUAUCAAAAGUGAAUGUAUAACUCAUUUCAAAUUCCUUAUCUUAAGCAAACCAGAAUGCACCAUUUUCUUUUUAUUCUUCUUUUUUGCAGAAGGCCAGGGGCACACUCCAUCACUCAGCCAUCAGUUACAAACAAAUCAUGUCAGUUUAGUGAGUCUGCCAGAUCAGAGGCAGUAGGGAUGACAAGGGAUGUUCGGCUGAUAAGUGUGUGAAUUUGACUAUUUUUCUGUCCUGCUAAGCAUUCAAAAUGUAAUGAGUACUUUCGGGUGUCAAGGAAAAUGUAUGGAGUAAAAAUUACAAUGUUUUCUUAAGGAAUGUAGUGAACUAAAAGUAAAAGAAGACACAAAUAUGAAUAUAGUAUAGAUACCCCAAAAACUACUUAAGUAUUACUUUAAAGUAUUGUUACUUAAGUACUUUACACCACUGUUACUUUAAAAAAUAUGUUUUGUUAAUAUCACAGUUUACUUACAGUAUGUGACUUUACUUCCACCUGUUGAUACACUACCUCCAUAUUUCCUCUCUCUGCUUCCUGAUUUUCUGCUACCCUGUAAACCCCACCUCUUCCUGUAGUAUGUCAACAUCUGUUCCUCUCAGACCAAUUGUAAACCCACAUAAUAAUAGCAAUAAUUCAAUAAUAUUUUAAAUACACUUUUUGCAAUUACAAGCAGUUCCUGCCAGUUAGGCCUGUAUAAGCCCAACCUAAUCUGGAAUACCCAGAACAAAAUAUUGCAUGAACAUAACUCUCAUAACCUCUGUGCUCCCGACAGACGUAACAUGUUCGUUACAGAUCUUAGGACAGAUAUGCCCACCCAGAUCAGUCUUAUCUACCCCUGCAAUUGGAGCACAUUACAAACCUAUGACAGCUAUAGGUAUGAUAGUGUAUAUGAAAAUGAUGCAUCAUCACAGAAGGGUCAUAGGUGGGAGCUAUUGUUUCACCAUAAAAGGAGAGAGGGGAGACACAAAAUACAGUGUGUCACUCUCACACUCACUACUGUGGCAUUGCCUGAGUCAUUAUCUACAACCAACAGCUCCUGUGUAUAUUUCUAAAAACAUUUUCCAGAGCAUGUGAAGAUAGUCGCCCCCGAAAGCAUUUCUCAUUUCCAUAUAUCCUGUUUCACUUCUCUCUCUGUAUUAUACAUAAUAACAGGUGGCAGGUUUAAAGAACUCUUAAUUAUGAUCCAAUGAAUGUGCUGCUGGUGCCUUAUGU